rnacentral:lncRNA from 1 species
AUUGGUAGUCUGAUAGGAAUAGCAUUGAAUCUGUAGAUUGCUUUGGCCAUUUUAAUAUUCUUCCAAUCCAUUAGCAUGAAAUAUUUUUCCAUUUGUGCCAUCUCUGAUUUCUUUCAGUAGUGUUUUGUAGUUCUUGUAGAGAUCUCUCACCUCACCUCCUUGGUUAGAUGUAUUCCUAGGUAUUUUAAUCUAUGUCUAGCCAUUGUAAAUGGGAUUGCAUUCUAGAUUCGGCUCUUAGCUUAGACAUUAUUGGUGUAUAGAAAUGUAUUGAUUUUUGUACAUUGAUUUUGUAUUCUGAAACUUUACCAAAAUUGUUUAUCAGGUCUAGGAGCCUUUUGGCAGAGUCUUGAGGAUUUUCUUUGCUGAUAUGAUAGAAUCAUAUACUCAGUAAAGAGAGACAAUUUGACUUUUUCUUUUUGUAUUCAGAUGCCUUGUAUUUCUUUCUCUUGCCUGAUUUGAGCUUUGUUUCUUGAUCUUUAAAAUGUGAAUAAUGCUACCACCAAGCUCCCAGGGCAACUGUGAUAUUUAAAUGUAUGUAAAACCACUUGGCACAAUGCCUCAUAGAUAGAAACAAUCAAAUAAUGAUUUCCCUCACCUUUCUUCUCACCAGAAUAUUACAUAAUAAUAAUAGUAAUAAUAAACUGUAAUUGUAUAGGUUAACAACCUAACACAAGUUAAAAUGAUCAUGUCACUUCUUCAGUACAGCCCAGUGAUAAUCUUCAAAAGAUAGCAAUUGUGUAUAAGUCGCAUAUUGAAGGCAUUUUCACCCUUUCUGAUAUUCCCAAGAUGAGGCAGAACUAGGAUGGUAGAUGACUGCUCUGGCAAGAAAGGAUCUUUUUAAGAAAAUUUUGCCAUAGAGUUUUAACUGUCAUGCUUAAGUGUAAUAAUAAAUAUUGAUGGCUUCAGUUGAUUGGAUGCCUAUUGUACUAAGAACUUUACAAACUCAUUGUUAAUCCUUACUACGUCCCUAAAGAAAGAUAUUACUUUCUUCAUUUCAUAAAUUAGAACACUGCCAUUUAGAAAGCUUAAAUGUCUUCUCCAAGGCCACACAGCCAGUAAAUGUCUGGGUACAGAUUGGACCCAAUGUGCAAGAGACUCCAGAAUCUGCCUUCUUUCUGUUCAGCCCACUGUCACAUUACCCAUCAUGGCCAGAAACACACCUAGGACAUGACCCUGUCCAGUUUAUUCAUGGAACUCUGGCCAUGUCCCAUUUAGACAAAGAGACAAAAUUGCUAAAAGUGAACUCAGAAUAUCACUUUUAGUUCCCAGCAUUCCAUACUCCCUGUGUUCGGGAAAUGCAAGAACAAAAUGACCACAGUCCUUGGCAUCUUGUUGCCACAGUAUUUCUCCAACACAAUCAGAUGAGUUGGCAUCUGCUCAGACACUAAAAGGACUCCCACAGAGGCUGAAAUAAAUUCAGCAUCAUCAACCUGUUCUUUCCCUUUUUGUAUCUUGUUUUUCAUAGGGCCUUGUGCCUGUGGGGGUUUAUCUGCAUCCUUUGUUGUAACUUGCCUGUUCAUUUAUCUGGAUCCCCCGCUAGACUGUGAGUUCUGGGGAUAUAAGGAGAGUGUUUUGGUCAACUUCAUCUCACCCACGCUAACACAGGGUAGGCCUUCAUAAAUACAUGCUGGCUAGCUGGCUGGAUGGAUGGUACUGGUAAUUUUUAUCCUUAGUGACGUGGGGAAGAGGGAGAUAAACGUAAACUGAUAGAAACGGAAGGAGAUAGCACCGUUAGAGGUAGAUGGGGCCUAUUAUAAAUUUUCUAGGAAGUUAAUAUUUUAAAGAAACACAAAUGUUUUACCUUAUUUUCAAGAGUGACUUAGAGAAACUUAGAGGUACUG